rnacentral:lncRNA from 1 species
AUACAUACACAUCUAGAGAGAGAGUGAACGGGCGUCGCAUCAGAGAGAGAGAGAGAGAGAGAGAGAGAGAGAGAGAAAGAAAGACCGAUGAAAGGGAGAGGAAGCCGACCACCUCAACUCGAUGAAGGGGAUGAUGGCGACAGCUUAUGUAUUCCAACAACCAGAUUGGCAGCGAUGGCGGCUAGGGUUCCAGUUUAGGGGUUUUGAAACCAGAUCGUGAAGGUGUUGCGGACAACCAAUAGUCGGAGAAAACUAUUUAAACAGGUUUUAGAGAGAUAAAUAGACGGUGGAACGACCAUCGUUUACGGUGCUGUACCAGACGGGCGAAUGGCGAUGAUCUUCUUUGGGUAAUGGCUACUUUAGGGUUUGAAGGUUAUAGUGAGCCAUUUGAGUCAUACUUGACAAGAUACAGAGAGUCGAAAUAUGCUUGCGAAACUGAAGGACUUGGAGCACUUUUAGAAGGCUAUGUGCCUCAUUGGAGAUAGAGAAAAUGUACAAGAUCAAGAAUGGUAACCGGUAUACAAACCAUCAGUUCAGUUCGGGCUAAAAGCGUGCCAAGUAGUGCGUUAUAUGGUGGGAUAUGGCGACUUGCAUAAGGAAUCCGAACACACUUUGGCGGCCUCCCUUAGCGGCGAUGGCUGGUGGUUUCUAUCCGGAUGGUGAUGAUGACGAACGGUGGUGGUGGUUCGAGCAAGUGGUGGUUGGAAAAAAUCAGAGGUCGGAGUGGCUGUGGUUGCAGGUGGAGUUUGCGGCGGUGGUGUUUCAGCGUGGAGGGUGCGAACGGUGGUGGUCAAAUCAGAUGUGGGGGUUGUUGCUCUAAUAAUAUCUUAGAUCCAUUAAUCUUAUGUUGUUUUGUUAAUUCCAUCCAACCUCUAUAGGUGUGGGGUGGUGUUCUUUUAGGUUUAUCGGCUAGGCUGACGUUUUGAAUCCUAUGUUGUUUUGUUAAUUUCAUUCAACUUCUUCUUGUGCUAAUCAUGUUGUUUUUUAAUCGUAUGUUAUUUUGUUAAUUC